GUAGAAUUAUGAAAUAAUAGAAAAUAGCAUUCAAUUGCAACAAAUAAUUGUGAAUAUUUUGCAUGUUUUUUUAUUUGUUUCAAUUUCAUUUUAAUUUGAUUUAUCAAGUAUUGGAAUGAAUAUUACUAUUGGAUAAUGAAAAUUGAAAGUUUCCAAAAACUGUAAUUAGAAAUUAGAAAUGAAUUUCUACACGUGCAUAUAUCUAGCAUGUUGAUGUACAAUACUAGUAAAUGAAGAUGUUGAAACAAAAAAAUUGUUCCCCUAUAAAAGGGUGAAGCAGAGAGGGUGAAGCAGAGAUUGCAACAUGCAUCUCUAAUCACUUCAUUCUCUCUUUACAAUGGUCACAGUGACUUCAUUACUACAAAUUGUUUUCUGAUGGCUUUCACAAUCACCCAACACCUUUCUACAUAGACCAUAUUCUCCUCCACCACCACCACCACCUUAGAUCACUUUAAACUGGCUCUCACAUGGCCACAAACACUGUAAGAUAGAAACCUAUUUCUCUCUUUUUUUCCACAAAAAUUUGUCAUUCAUGGUCUGUGGCCAAAACGACACUGUGAUAUGUGAUUGCAAAGUUGGGACAGAAGUUUCGGUGAACAAGUAAAAUUCUCACAGAACUUGUUCAAUCCAGAUGUUCGAGAUUCUGCCUUAUUUUAAAGAGUCAUUAAAAGUUUACCAAAGAAAUAAUAUAAAGGAUAUUCUUGAAAAAAGUAAUAUUAUACCGGGCAGAAAGUUUAAAAAGACCAAUUUGUUAAUGCAAUAAAUAUUCACAUUAACGUUAUGCCACAAGUUCGUAAGCUCUCCGUUCACUAUUAUAAGCAAAUUUGACUCUUUAUACAUUUAACUAUCAAUGUAUCUAGUGGUUGUCGAAAGGAAGUUCAAUGGAGGCUGACAGGUUCAUGAAAGUUUGGAAUUUAUUUUAUUUUCUUACUAUGCAACUUUUGUUUUCUUUUUGGUUUGCUGGAUGUUGUUAUGGUUCUAAAUAAAGACCUUGUUAGCUCUCCAUACUUCAGUUUGUACUCUUUCCCACUUUGUGUGUUAAGAUGGAAUUUAUAUGAAUAAAAUUUGAAGUUUGCUUUUUA